GAGAGACUUUGCACGGUGAUUUAAUUCAGAUUGGAUGCCACGGGUUGCUUCUCUUGGAGAAUGAGUGGUUGCAUACGUUACUGCCACGUUUUGUAGAAGUUAGAUGACUUUGAUUUUGGAGCAUUGAAUUGGCUGCAACAAUUUCACGGCAAANGUUUAUUCUUUGGGCCAUUUCAAUUUUAAUUUCAUUAGGUGAAAGUACUUGGGCACGUGAGAAAAAAAAUACAUGUUUGUUUCUUUAGCUUUUUAAUUAGUUUGCAUAUUAGGAUUAGUUGUUUUUAAUUUCUUUAAUUUAGUUUUGCAUUUAAUUUAAUUUAACUGUGUUUAGAUAUUUGUUUAGUCUAUUUGGUUUAGCAUUUUCACUCUCAGGACUCGAUUUUAAAAAAAUAACUGCAACCAGACCAGAGCUCCAAAUGCUACGUUUUAUAUAUCAAAUGAAAGAUAAUUGAGUCUACUUUCCAGGAAAAAAAACCUCAUCUCAUUUAGAGCUCUGUAGAAAAAGUUAUGGUUAAAACAUUGAGCAAAGGUCAGAGUUGCCUAGUUCCAGCGUGAAUUUUCGUUUUUACUGUUUUAAUUUCAUUUUAAUUUUUCCGCAUUCACCACGCAAACCUUUCACAACCCCCUCCUUCAUGUUUGACUUGAUUCUGAACCGCAGUUGGUCCUUGAGAGACGACCUAGGGGUCACUCCCUAGCUAUACUGCAUUUCUUAUUAUGCAAUCAAAUUUGAUUGGGCGGCGACACCCAUCAA
rnacentral:lncRNA from 1 species